rnacentral:lncRNA from 1 species
GGCCAGGGUAAUCCAUCAGAUGGAUUUGAUAUUUUGAAAUACAAUGUGGACAACCUGAUUAGUAUUGACAGUUGAACUCUGAGGUAUCCUAUGAUCAUUUUGGUCAAGGGGAUGAAUUAUAUAGAAACUAUAUCUGCAUGGGUUUUAAGGAUGUUAUUCUACACAUUCGACCUAUUCGAUCGUCGGGUAUCAUUGUUAGAUGGUCACUUCGAUUGGUACAGAAAUUUAUUUCUGUGCUAUUGGCUUAGGUUUGGACCUAUGAGGUUACACACAUUAGAG